rnacentral:SRP_RNA from 1 species
CGCGGGUCCCCCCGCACCGCGAAAUUGCAAACCCCGUCAGGCCCGGAAGGGAGCAGCGGUAGCAACGGAUGCGGGUGCCGGGGUGUGGCUGGUGCAG